GACGAACGCUGGCGGCGUGCUUAACACAUGCAAGUCGAACGAUGAACCCGGAGCUUGCUCUGGGGGAUUAGUGGCGAACGGGUGAGUAACACGUGAGUAACCUGCCCUGGACUCUGGGAUAAGCGUUGGAAACGACGUCUAAUACCGGAUAGGACCUUGGAUCGCAUGAUCUGGGGUGGAAAGUUUUUUCGGUCUGGGAUGGACUCGCGGCCUAUCAGCUUGUUGGUGAGGUAAUGGCUCACCAAGGCGUCGACGGGUAGCCGGCCUGAGAGGGUGACCGGCCACACUGGGACUGAGACACGGCCGAGACUCCUACGGGAGGCAGCAGUGGGGAAUAUUGCACAAUGGGCGAAAGCCUGAGGCAGCAACGCCGCGUGCGGGAUGACGGCCUUCGUGUUGUAAACCGCAUUUAGUAGGGAAGAAGGGCUUCGGCUUGACGGUACCUGCAGAAAAAGGACCGGCUAACUACGUG
rnacentral:rRNA from 1 species